rfam:Sordaria macrospora k-hell, WGS project CABT02000000 data, contig: 2.9
GUCAGCUUGGCCGAGUGGUUAAGGCGACAGACUUGAAUACUCUUAUUCAGCUAUCUGUUAUCUUCGGAUGCGUAGGUUCAAAUCCUGCAGCUGACG